GUCCUCUUGUUUUGUUUAGGAGGUCAAGCCUGCCCAGUGAUUGUUUUUAACGGCCGCGGUAUUUUGACCGUGCAAAGGUAGCAUAAUCAUUAGUCUUUUAAUAGGAGGCUGGAAUGAAAGGUUUAACGAAACAUAAACUGUCUCGUUUUUAUAAUAUAUAAUUUAAUUUUUAAGUUAAAAAGCUUAAAUUUUGUUGUAGGACGAGAAGACCCUAUAGAGCUUUACAUUUUUCAUUUUUAGUGAGGUUUAGUUUAUAAUUUUGUGCUAUUUUUGUAAUUGUUUUGUUGGGGUGACAAAAAUAUAUAAGAAACUUUUUUAUAUUAUAUACAUACAAUUUGUGGUCUUUAGAUCCAUUAUUAUUGAUUGUUAGAUUAAGUUACCUUAGGGAUAACAGCGUAAUCUUCCUUUGAAGUUCAAAUUUACAGGAAGGCUUGCGACCUCGAUGUUGGAUUAAGAUAAUUAUUAGGUGCAGUAGCUUAAUUAAUAGGUCUGUUCGACCUUUAAAUUCUUACAUGAUCUGAGUUCAGACCGG
rnacentral:rRNA from 1 species